CCUAGAGCUAAUACAUGCUAAAAACCUCGACUUCGGAAGGGGUGUAUUUAUUAGAUAAAAAACCAGCGCCCUCCGGGGCCUCUUGGUGAAUCAUAAUAACUUAACGAAUCGCAUGGCCUUGCGCCGGCGAUGGUUCAUUCAAAUUUCUGCCCUAUCAACUUUCGAUGGUAGGAUAGUGGCCUACCAUGGUUUCAACGGGUAACGGGGAAUUAGGUAUGUUACCGCCGGAAUCGAUGGAUCUCGAGGGCGAGGGCUAACGUUCGUGAAGGGUUCGACUCCGGAGAAGGAGCCUGAGAAACGGCUACUACAUCCAAGGAAGGCAGCAGGCGCGCAAAUUACCCAAUCCCGACACGGGGAGGUAGUGACAAUAAAUACUGAUACAGGGCUCUUUUGGGUCUUGUAAUUGGAAUGAGUACAAUUUAAAUCCCUUAACGAGGAACAAUUGGAGGGCAAGUCUGGUGCCAGCAGCCGCGGUAAUUCCAGCUCCAAUAGCGUAUAUUAAAGUUGUUGCAGUUAAAAAGCUCGUAGUUGAACCUUGGGUCUGGCUGGUCGGUCCGCCUCACCGCGUGUACUGGUCCGGCCGGACCUUUCCUUCUGGGGAGCCGCAUGGCCUUCACUGGCCGUGUCGGGGAACCAGGACUUUUACUUUGAAAAAAUUAGAGUGUUCAAAGCAGGCCUUUGCUCGGAUACAUUAGCAUGGAAUAAUAGAAUAGGACGUG
rnacentral:rRNA from 1 species